ensembl:lncRNA
CACGACAGCACUGAGAGAUUGCAGACUACAUGCCCAAGAGGAAUAUAGAGUAACUCUGACACGUAUCUAGCAGCCUGGUCUCAUAGUGGCGGCAGAUGUGUGAACCUCAUGAUGUGAAUGAUCUCCGGCAGCACCUGGUACUCCCAUGGAUAAAUGUGGUGCAUUAAAAGGACGAUGGCAGGAGAUUCUCGGAAAAAGAUUUACAGCUAUCAAUCACGCCUUAAUGCCCUGAAUCAGAGAUGUGAAGGGCGACCUCAUUAAUGAGGAACCAAUCAAGAUUUGACAGUGAAGCUUAGACACAGAACUCUGAAAGAGAAUGAUGACCCCUGGGAAGAGAAUUUGGCUGCCCUUG